AACGAACGCUGGCGGCAUGCCUAACACAUGCAAGUCGAACGAGACCUUCGGGUCUAGUGGCGCACGGGUGCGUAACGCGUGGGAACCUGCCCUUAGGUUCGGAAUAACUCCCCGAAAGGGGUGCUAAUACCGGAUAAUGUCUUCGGACCAAAGAUUUAUCGCCUUUGGAUGGGCCCGCGUUGGAUUAGCUAGUUGGUAGGGUAAAAGCCUACCAAGGCGACGAUCCAUAGCUGGUCUGAGAGGAUGAUCAGCCACACUGGGACUGAGACACGGCCCAGACUCCUACGGGAGGCAGCAGUGGGGAAUAUUGGACAAUGGGCGAAAGCCUGAUCCAGCAAUGCCGCGUGAGGGAUGAAGGCCUUAGGGUUGUAAAGCUCUUUUACCCGGGAUGAAAAUGACAGUAACGGGAGAAUAAGCACCGGCUAACUCCGUG
rnacentral:rRNA from 1 species